rnacentral:lncRNA from 1 species
UGAAUAAAUAAACCAAUAUGAUAAAAUAAUAAGAACAAUUCAAGUUUCAAACUACAACGUUUAUGUAGCACCCAAAACUCUAGAACUAAGAACUAUAAAAUUAAAGGAAGAGAAGAGAAGAAAAACUAGUUAGAAGCCUCCUCCAAGCAUGGUGUAUGUUGCCUCGCGUGAAUUAUCCUUCAAAGUAUGUUCUAUAUCAACAAAGUGGCGUCUUUUCCUCCAAAAAUAGGUUAAGUCUUGCUUUAUUACGUGUUGGGUAGGUCUAGGGCCGAAAUAACCUUGUUCUGGGCGAAAUUGGACAAAAUCAUGUCAUCGGCACCCUGGGUAGCGCCAGGCGCCCACCAGGGCACUGCCUCAAACUUCCAUUCCGCCUCCAGCGCCACAAGUGGCGCCAGGCGCUGCCUGUGGCGCCCUAGUGCUCAAUUCGUCCGAUUUUGUUCGUUUUGGCUCAAAUCUUGCGUGUUUCCCCCCAAUUGCUCCUGAAUCAUUCCAACACAUAAAAACACUUCAAAUUAAUAUAAAUCAUAGCAUUAAACAUCCCAAAUUCAUGAAACAAAAGUAAAAUAUGAGGCGAUAUACAUACAAAUAUAUAUACUUUAAGUUAAACAUCAACACCCCACACUUAAACUCUUCUCGUCCUCGAGCAAUGGGACUAUCUAAUAAACCCCGAACUACAUACAAGUAUGAAUUAUAGAGGAGCACCUUAAAUUUUAAC